CCUACGGGCGACAGCAGUAGGGAAUAUUGCACAAUGGGCGCAACCCUGAUGCAGCAAUGCCGCGUGUAGGAAGAAGGUUUUCGGAUUGUAAACUCCUUUUGUUGGAGAAGAUAGUGAUGAUAUCUAACGAAUAAGCACCUGCUAACUCCGUGCCAGCAGCCGCGGUAAUACGGAGGGUGCAAGCGUUACUCGGAAUCACUGGGCGUAAAGAGCGCGUAGGCGGGAUGGCAAGUCAGAUGUGAAAUCCCAGGGCUUAACCAUAGAACUGCAUCUGAAACUGGUAUUCUAGAGUAUGGCAGAGGGAGGUAGAAUUCUAGGUGUAGGGGUAAAAUGCGUAGAGAUCAAGAGGAAUACUCAUGGCGAAGGCGACCUGCUAGAACAAAACUGACGCUGAUGCGCGAAAGCGUGGGGAGCAAACAGGAUUAGAUACCCUAGUAGUC
rnacentral:rRNA from 1 species